rnacentral:lncRNA from 1 species
AGCCAUGGCACCUCUGCUACAGGGGCUGGAUGCAUCGCUUCAUAAAGCUGGACGUCACUCCGAUUCCAGUAAGGUCCUCUUGUUUCAACUGCGCUAUUCUACUAAUCAACUCAGGUAGUUGGAGGCAAUCUCCAUGUUUUGGUUCAUCAAGCCAGCGGUUGUUCCAUAAGGGUAAUUCCCUGUUAGUUUGGGUAGUUUCAAAUCAUGGUUGCCAAUGUAGCACCACUUUUC